rnacentral:lncRNA from 1 species
GGCCUCGGCUACCCAGUUUCUGAUCGUUUGUUAUGGCCGCCCCAGGAAACUCCUGUGUCACUUCACAGUGCCUGCUUGUGAUGGCAGAGUCAGCAUGGGACCUUCACAGACGCUGGCCGGUUCAGGGCCUGCAGGUCUCAAUGGCAGGCCUCUUCCUGAACGUGCACCACAUCAUACAACUCAGAAUGACCCCUACCUGUUCCCAGAGCUCAGGCCCCUCUUCAGUGCUACUCCCAGGGGAGUGGAGCCACUACCUACUAUUAACUCUGCCUUGCACAAGGUGAAGAUUUAUUCUGGCUUGACAUGAACAGCUUCAGUCCUGAUGCUUGAAAAACAAGAUGAACAGCUUCAAUCCUGACGCUUGAAAAACAAGUCCAUGAGAACGUGGGCUGUGGAGCCAGAAGUAUCCAAGUUCAAGUCCCAGCUCUGGCACUUGUUGGCUCUGUGAUCUUGAGACGUGAACUCAACCUCUUUGAGUCGAGCGUCUGCUUUGGUGAAAUGGGGACAUCGAUACCUUUGUGGCUGGGUUUGUGGUGAGGAUUCCAUGGAAGUUCAAUUAUUAGAAGGCAUUCUUAUUUAUCUUCAGGAAGUGCCCAUUUUGCAGAUGAGAAGGACUGAGUGAGGCUCAAGGGGGGUAGGCCCAGGUUGGCUGUGUUGUGCAAGGUUUCUGUAAGGCCUUGGCUUUUGGUGCAUGUGGAGGAAUCUGAACACUAGCCUGCUUUUGCACAGUGUUAUCUUGUCUGAGCCCUUCAUGGCUGUGAAAUGGGGAAAACUACCCAUGCCAGGCUGCUCAGAGAAGCCAGUGAUGCUGCACACAUGAGGCCCUGGCUCUGCACCUGGGGUAGAAUUGGCCCUCCGAAGAAUGACUGUUGCUGCCCUCUCUUUUUCUCUCCUGCCUCACUUUACCCUAAACCAGUGGGCAGCACAGCUACCUUCUCUGCUUUGACAUGGAGCCCAGAGUGGGAGCCCAGAGAGGGAGGCCAUCUUGCCCAGGGUCCCUCAUUCAGGGCCUCUGAGGCGAAUAUUUUAUUCUUAUUCGUGAACGAGGAAGAUUGGAUUAGGAGGAGGUGGACUAAGAUUAAAGUGGAUUUAAAAAGAA